AUGGAAUUUGAGUCAUCUGAUGAAGAUUAUAGUUAUGAUGAAGAUAGUGAUGGGAACAUGGUGAGAAGCAAGAGCAAAUACCCAAGGUUUAACCCAGAUUCUGAUAUACCACACUUCAGUUUGGGCAUGGUUUUCAGGAGCAAAAAUCAGUUUGUCAAGGCAGUGAAAAGAUAUGGUCUUGCUACCAAAAGAAGCAUGAGAUUCAAGAAGUCAGAGGGGACCAGGGUCAGGGUUGAAUGUGGAUGGCCUGGUUGUCCAUGGGUAGUCUAUGCAGCAAAGACCACCAGAUGCUCAAGGUUUCAAAUAAUAACCUUUGAUGAUGACCACCAGUGUGCACAAAACAGAGAUAGAUUAGUUACUGCAAAGGUCAUAGCACAGAGAUAUGAGCACUUCAUAUUGGCCAAUCCAAUGUGGAAGAUCGAUAGCAUUAAAGCAACUGUACUGAAAGACAUGUUUGCUGAUGUGUCAACUUCAAAGUGUAAGGCUGCAAAAAAAAAUUGUAAUGGACAAGUUAUUGUGUGGCAUGAAGAGUGA
rnacentral:rRNA from 1 species